CAGAGGGUGCGAGCGUUGUCCGGAAUCACUGGGCGUAAAGGGCGCGUAGGCGGUUUUGUAAGUUGGGGGUGAAAUGCUGCGGCUCAACCGCAGCGCUGCCCUCAAGACUGCAAGACUUGAGCACGGUAGGAGGCGGAUGGAAUUCCCGGUGUAGCGGUGGAAUGCGUAGAGAUCGGGAAGAACACCAAUGGCGAAGGCAGUCCGCUGGGCCGUUGCUGGCGCUGAGGCGCGACAGCGUGGGGAGCAAACAGGAUUAGAUACCCUGGUAGUCCACGCCGUAAACGAUGGGCGCUAGGCUCGGGGGGAGCGACCCUCCCGGUGCCGUCGCUAACGCAGUAAGUGCCCCGCCUGGGGAGUACGGCCGCAAGGUUG
rnacentral:rRNA from 1 species